CUACAAUAAUACGAAGCAAAGUUAAACCAAAUAUCAACAAGCUUAACUGAUUUUACAAUUUCAAUAUAUUUAAAUAUUUAGAAGUGAAUUUAUAUGUUUUUACCUUGUUCUCUUGAUAGGUCAUUUUCUUCUGAAUUAUGUGUCUCUUGUUCCACUUGGUCAUGUAUAUCGUGUGCCUCUACAGUAGGAGAUUCUCUUGGUACAUGUUGCAAUUGUUUCUUUGAAACUUGUGCUACUAUAGUGGAAGAAUUAAUAGGUGCUUGUGACACUUGUUCGUGCACAACUUGUGCUUUUAAAGUGGAAAAUUCAUGGCACAUGUUUUUGUGCAUAGAUCUUGUUUUUAGACUGAAACAACUAUGAGGCAUUUCAUUCUUUUUAGACUGUGCUUUUAAAUUGCGAGAAUUCUGAGGCACUUGUGGCAAUUCUUCUUGUAAUUUUUGUCCUACAAGAGUAGAGAAAUUUCAGGGCAGUAUAGAUUGAACAUUCCCUUUUGAUCUUAAUGAAGAAAUCCUUUUGUAAGCCAUAGAUGUUAUCUCUCAAACAUUCUUCAAUAGACACAACAUCAUCAAAAUCAACUUAUUCAUAUAUCAUCAAAUCUCCAGAUUUACGCUUCAAUUUCUUCAAACCCGAAUUUUUCUAUUUUACAUCAUUCUCAAGUAAUUCCGUUUGAAGGGUUUCAUAAUAACAAAUUCUUUCUUCAAUGGAUGCAUUCAAGAGAGCUACUAGAGGCAUUGUAAAAAAAAAACACAGUUCUUUCGAGUUAUCAUAGUUUAAUUUUUUUCACUCAAGAAAUAAACAACAAUGUAGGUUCAACUUCUAAGUCUAAGGAGGUUAUACGAGGUGGAAAAAUGGCUGAACCUGUCGAGGUGCGAAAUUCCACAGAAAUUCAUGAAGUUGAAUAAGAACAAUUUUUUGGAGAA